UGAGCUAGAGUGGUCAGUGUGAGCCUGAAGAUGACAAAUGAAGGAGUAUCCAGAACAGGAGAAAUGUUGAGUGGCUCCUAAUGGACAUGUGGGCUAUUCUGGGUCUGGUGAAUGGACUUGUAUUAUGGCCCUUAUACACUUUAUUCAGACAAGUUGGCUCAUUGAACUAAUGGUAUUGUUCUGAGGAAAGAGAUGCAUCUGUUUGCUCAACUCAUCUUAUUUUGGCCACUUUAAUAAAUUAACUGAGAGCUGCACCCACUUGCUGAGAUGACUUCUGUGGAUGUCAACACUACCUGCAUGAGUAAAGCUAGCAGGAUCUGGCAUCAAAUCUCUGACCCCUGUAUCGCUCUGGAUGUGGAAUAAAUAGUACCCGCUUAACAAGAGGGUCUUAUAUAUUUGG